rnacentral:lncRNA from 1 species
AGGCUGACUCAGGACACCCCAGGCUGACUCUGGACACCCCAGACUGAAUCAGGAAUCCCCAGGCUGACUAAGGACACCCCAGGAUGACUCAGGAUACCCCAGGAUGACCCAGGAAUCCCCUGGAUGACACAGGAUGCAACAGGCUGGAUAAGGAAAAACCAGGCAGACUCAGGACAUCCAAGUUUGACACAGGAGUCCCCCUGCUGACAAAGGACAUCACAGGCUGACUCAGGACACUCCAGAUGACUCAGGACACCCCACGCUGACACAGGACACCCCAGGCUGACACAGGACACCCAAGGCUGAUUGAUGACACACCAGGCUGACGCAGGACACAACAGG